AAAUUGAAGAGUUUGAUCAUGGCUCAGAUUGAACGCUGGCGGCAGGCCUAACACAUGCAAGUCGAGCGGAAACGAGUUAUCUGAACCUUCGGGGAACGAUAACGGCGUCGAGCGGCGGACGGGUGAGUAAUGCCUAGGAAAUUGCCCUGAUGUGGGGGAUAACCAUUGGAAACGAUGGCUAAUACCGCAUGAUGCCUACGGGCCAAAGAGGGGGACCUUCGGGCCUCUCGCGUCAGGAUAUGCCUAGGUGGGAUUAGCUAGUUGGUGAGGUAAGGGCUCACCAAGGCGACGAUCCCUAGCUGGUCUGAGAGGAUGAUCAGCCACACUGGAACUGAGACACGGUCCAGACUCCUACGGGAGGCAGCAGUGGGGAAUAUUGCACAAUGGGCGCAAGCCUGAUGCAGCCAUGCCGCGUGUGUGAAGAAGGCCUUCGGGUUGUAAAGCACUUUCAGUCGUGAGGAAGGUGGUGUAGUUAAUAGCUGCAUUAUUUGACGUUAGCGACAGAAGAAGCACCGGCUAACUCCGUGCCAGCAGCCGCGGUAAUACGGAGGGUGCGAGCGUUAAUCGGAAUUACUGGGCGUAAAGCGCAUGCAGGUGGUUUGUUAAGUCAGAUGUGAAAGCCCGGGGCUCAACCUCGGAAUAGCAUUUGAAACUGGCAGACUAGAGUACUGUAGAGGGGGGUAGAAUUUCAGGUGUAGCGGUGAAAUGCGUAGAGAUCUGAAGGAAUACCGGUGGCGAAGGCGGCCCCCUGGACAGAUACUGACACUCAGAUGCGAAAGCGUGGGGAGCAAACAGGAUUAGAUACCCUGGUAGUCCACGCCGUAAACGAUGUCUACUUGGAGGUUGUGGCCUUGAGCCGUGGCUUUCGGAGCUAACGCGUUAAGUAGACCGCCUGGGGAGUACGGUCGCAAGAUUAAAACUCAAAUGAAUUGACGGGGGCCCGCACAAGCGGUGGAGCAUGUGGUUUAAUUCGAUGCAACGCGAAGAACCUUACCUACUCUUGACAUCCAGAGAACUUUCCAGAGAUGGAUUGGUGCCUUCGGGAACUCUGAGACAGGUGCUGCAUGGCUGUCGUCAGCUCGUGUUGUGAAAUGUUGGGUUAAGUCCCGCAACGAGCGCAACCCUUAUCCUUGUUUGCCAGCGAGUAAUGUCGGGAACUCCAGGGAGACUGCCGGUGAUAAACCGGAGGAAGGUGGGGACGACGUCAAGUCAUCAUGGCCCUUACGAGUAGGGCUACACACGUGCUACAAUGGCGUAUACAGAGGGCGGCCAACUUGCGAAAGUGAGCGAAUCCCAAAAAGUGCGUCGUAGUCCGGAUUGGAGUCUGCAACUCGACUCCAUGAAGUCGGAAUCGCUAGUAAUCGUGGAUCAGAAUGCCACGGUGAAUACGUUCCCGGGCCUUGUACACACCGCCCGUCACACCAUGGGAGUGGGCUGCAAAAGAAGUAGGUAGUUUAACCUUCGGGGGGACGCUUACCACUUUGUGGUUCAUGACUGGGGUGAAGUCGUAACAAGGUAGCGCUAGGGGAACCUGGCGCUGGAUCACCUCCUUAAACGAUGAU
rnacentral:rRNA from 1 species